AGAUUGAACGCUGGCGGCAUGCCUUACACAUGCAAGUCGAACGGCAGCACGGGAGCAAUCCUGGUGGCGAGUGGCGAACGGGUGAGUAAUACAUCGGAACGUGCCCAAUCGUGGGGGAUAACGCAGCGAAAGCUGUGCUAAUACCGCAUAAGAUCUACGGAUGAAAGCAGGGGAUCGCAAGACCUUGCGCGAAUGGAGCGGCCGAUGGCAGAUUAGGUAGUUGGUGAGGUAAAGGCUCACCAAGCCUUCGAUCUGUAGCUGGUCUGAGAGGACGACCAGCCACACGUGGGACUGAGACACCGGCCAGACCU
rnacentral:rRNA from 1 species